rnacentral:rRNA from 1 species
GCUUAACACAUGCAAGUCGAACGCCCUCUUCGGAGGGAGUGGCAGACGGGUGAGUAACACGUGGGAACCUACCUAGGGGUACGGAAUAACUCGAGGAAACUCGUGCUAAUACCGUAUACGACCUUCGGGUGAAAGAUUUAUCGCCCCUAGAUGGGCCCGCGCUGGAUUAGCUAGUUGGUGGGGUAAAGGC